CCUACGGGAGGCAGCAGUGGGGAAUAUUGGACAAUGGGCGAAAGCCUGAUCCAGCAAUGCCGCGUGAGUGAUGAAGGCCUUAGGGUUGUAAAGCUCUUUUACCAGGGAUGAUAAUGACAGUACCUGGAGAAUAAGCUCCGGCUAACUCCGUGCCAGCAGCCGCGGUAAUACGGAGGGAGCUAGCGUUGUUCGGAAUUACUGGGCGUAAAGCGUACGUAGGCGGUUAUUCAAGUCAGAGGUGAAAGCCUGGAGCUCAACUCCAGAACUGCCUUUGAAACUAGGUAGCUAGAAUCACGGAGAGGUUAGUGGAAUUCCGAGUGUAGAGGUGAAAUUCGUAGAUAUUCGGAAGAACACCAGUGGCGAAGGCGACUAACUGGACGUGUAUUGACGCUGAGGUACGAAAGCGUGGGGAGCAAACAGGAUUAGAUACCCUGGUAGUCCACGCCGUAAACGAUGAUAACUAGCUGUUCGUCGUCUACGUACGUACGUAGUAGUGGUCGGCGACGCGUAACGUACGUACUUAAGUUAAGUUACCGUCCGUCGGGUAGGUACGGUCGGCGAAGAAGUUAAACUAACAAAGAAAGUAGUACGGACGUGAGACGAGCGACGACGACGACGAGGAGGAGG
rnacentral:rRNA from 1 species